CCGUAAAACGGCCCGUUACUGAAGACAAUUUAAGAACAAGAUUAUCAUCAUGAGGAAGAAGAAGAAGAAGAAAAAAAAACUGGUCCUGCGGGAUCAGACUAUUGAUUAUGGUCUGACUGUCUAGUGGAUCGACUCUUCGCCAGUGUCAAGACUCUUCGCCAGUGUUUCGUGCAAGUGUUUUAUAUAACAAUAUACUGUUACUAUAACAAUAUACUGUGACUAUAUGCUGUAACUAUAUACUGUAAUUGUGACGAAAAUGCUACUAGCAACAAUGACAAAGAACUAAUGUCGUUAAAAAACAAUUUUGAACAGUUCGAAAAACAGUCCGAAAAACAGUUGUGUGCAUAAAAAAUGUCGUGUGCAUAAAAAAUGAAAAAUGUAGUGGGAUGAACUUCUAUUUGCAUAUCGUUAAUAAAAUUAAACGAUACCGAAGUCUUCCUCAAGAGAGAACGAAAUUAUCAUCAUGAGAAGAAAGAAGAAGAUACUGUCCCUGCCGAUUCAAGCUAUUGGUUACAACAUCCAAUGGAUCGAGGCAGUGUCAAGAUUCUUCGCAUGUGUUUUCGUUCAAGUGUUUCGAUACCGUAGUUGUGAUCAGACUUUAUAGUAUUAGCGACGCUGUAACGAACAGUUUUGAACGUUUUCGAAAAAAUGUCGGAUGUGCCGUGUAGUUAAUAACGAAAAGUUUAAUUGAACUUUUGUUUGCAAAUCGUAAAUAAAAUUAAACGAUAUCGAUACUUCAAACGGCGCAUCAUGAACAAUAAUGUGAGAACGAGUCAAGAUGAUGCAACCGUCGCUGCCGAUUCGACUAUUGAUUACAACGUCUAAUAGCGUGUAUCACGGUACCCGUGCAAUUUCUGAAAAAUUGUCACGUAAUCUGAAAAAAUAAUGAAAAGGAUUAUAUUAGUUUAGGUAUAUGUAAGAAAAAAUAUUAUAUAAAAAUAAAAAUA